AUUGAACGCUGGCGGCAGGCUUAACACAUGCAAGUCGAGCGGAGAUGAGGUGCUUGCACCUUAUCUUAGCGGCGGACGGGUGAGUAAUGCUUAGGAAUCUGCCUAUUAGUGGGGGACAACAUUCCGAAAGGAAUGCUAAUAACGCAUACGUCCUACGGGAGAAAGCAGGGGAUCUUCGGACCUUGCGCUAAUAGAUGAGCCUAAGUCGGAUUAGCUAGUUGGUGGGGUAAAGGCCUACCAAGGCGACGAUCUGUAGCGGGUCUGAGAGGAUGAUCCGCCACACUGGGACUGAGACACGGCCCAGACUCCUACGGGAGGCAGCAGUGGGGAAUAUUUGACAAUGGGGAAAACCCUGAUCCAGCCAUGCCGCGUGUGUGAAGAAGGCCUUAUGGUUGUAAAGCACUUUAAGCGAGGAGGAGGCUACUGAGACUAAUACUCUUGGAUAGUGGACGUUACUCGCAGAAUAAGCACCGGCUAACUCUGUGCCAGCAGCCGCGGUAA
rnacentral:rRNA from 1 species